GUAGGUGAACCUGCGGAAGGAUCAUUAAAGAUGUUUCAGAACGAGGUUGUCGCUGGCCUUCCGGGGCAUGUGCACGCCUUCUUCUUCGUCCAACUUUCACACCUUGUGCACCUUCGGUAGUUCUGUGAAGGCAGGGGGAGAGCCGCAAGGCUUUUUCCUUGUUGGAUCGGUCCUACGUUUUUACACACUCCAUAAAGUUCAGAAUGUAAUACCGCGUCUAACGCACAUAAUAUAACUUUCAACAACGGAUCUCUUGGCUCUC
rnacentral:misc_RNA from 1 species